UUAGUUUCAAAAGCUAGCAUUGUUCAAUCUAAAAUUGAACAAUGAGAUCAACAUGUCCCCUGUAUAAGGAUGACACAUAAAUUUGUAAAGUGUUCAAUAUGUAU